CCUGUUUACGUCAGCAAGGAAGCUGAGGAGCAUGACAAUGUCAGUCAGGGUGUGAAAGAACAAUCUACCAUAGAUAAACAGUGGUUAAACCCUCAACGGAGAGGCAGGAAAUCUUCUGGAAGUUCUCCGUUCCCCAGCACUGCUUAGAUUCGGCUCUGACCUCUCCUCAGCAACCUCGGCUGUAGCUAGGAGCAACCCUAUCGCCUGCACAGAUGUCUCUAUGAGAAGCAGACACAACGGAGAAGCAACAUCCAGAUACUCCACCCGCAGCCUUCUGCUCUGCACCUGAAUGGAGGAUUCUUCAGUGUCUACACAGCCCUGACCCAGAGCAGACACUGGGUGCCCAGAUGACAAGGAAGCAGGACUAUAUCAUGGGGGAAAACUAGCAGCCACAUGCCACAGAACAAACCUGGACCAUUAUUUUAUACCCUGUGUAAACAUAAACUCAAAAUGGAUUCAAGAUUUGAAGCAAGAGAAACACAAGCAAAAUAAGCCAAGAGACUGACAUCAAACUAAAAGCCUUCUGUGCAGUGAAGGAAACCAUCAAUAAAAUGAAAAGCAAACCUGCUGAA